rnacentral:rRNA from 1 species
UACGUAGGGUGCAGGCGUUAAUCGGAAUUACUGGGCGUAAAGCGUGCGCAGGCGGUUUCUUAAGUCAGAUGUUAAAGCCCCGGGCUUAACCUGGGAACUGCGUUUGAAACUGGGAGACUUGAGUGUGGCAGAGGGGGGUGGAAUUCCACGUGUAGCAGUGAAAUGCGUAGAUAUGUGGAGGAACACCGAUGGCGAAGGCAGCCCCCUGGGUUAACACUGACGCUCAUGCACGAAAGCGUGGGGAGCAAACAGG